rnacentral:rRNA from 1 species
GCACAAGCGGAGGAACAUGUGGUUUUAAUUCGAUGAUACGCGAGGAACCUUACCUGGGCUUAAAUGUAGAUUGCAUGAGGUGGAAACACUUCUUCCCUUCGGGGCUAUUUACAAGGUGCUGCAUGGUUGUCGUCAGCUCGUGCCGUGAGGUGUCGGGUUAAGUCCCAUAACGAGCGCAACCCUUACCGUUAGUUGCCAUCGGGUCAAGCCGGGGACUCUAGCGGGACUGCCACCGUAAGGUGAGAGGAAGGUGGGGAUGACGUCAAAUCAGCACGGCCCUUAUGUCCAGGGCUACACACGUGUUACAAUGGCCGGUACAGAGGGCAGCUACCUGGUGACAGGAUGCUAAUCCCGAAAGCCGGUCCCAGUUCGGAUUGGAGUCUGCAACCCGACUCCAUGAAGUUGGAUUCGCUAGUAAUCGCGCAUCAGCCAUGGCGCGGUGAAUACGUUCCCGGGCCUU